CCGCCCGUCACACCAUGGGAGUGGGUUGCACCAGAAGUAGCUAGUCUAACCUUCGGGAGGACGGUUACCACGGUGUGAUUCAUGACUGGGGUGAAGUCGUAACAAGGUAGCCGUAGGGGAACCUGCGGCUGGAUCACCUCCUUA
rnacentral:rRNA from 1 species